rnacentral:rRNA from 1 species
UUGCAGUUAAAAAGCUCGUAGUUGGAUUUCUGGUAGGAGCGGCCGGUCCGCCCCGUAAUGGGGUGCGCUCUAGAGCCGCCUCCGGCCAUCCUUGGGGGAACUGCUAUGGCAUUAACUUGUCGUGGUAUGGAACCCAUCGUUUACUGUGAAAAAAUUAGAGUGUUUAAAGCAGGCUUAGGCCGUUGAAUACAUUAGCAUGGAAUAAUAAGAUAGGACCUUACGGACCUCUUGUUGGUUUGCGCCGAAAGGUAAUGAUUAAUAGGGAUAGUUGGGGGUAUUCGUAUUUAAUUGUCAGAGGUGAAAUUCUUGGAUUUAUGAAAGACGAACUUCUGCGAAAGCAUUUACCAAGGAUGUUUUCAUUAAUCAAGAACGAAAGUUAGGGGAUCGAAGAUGAUUAGAUACCAUCGUAGUCUUAACCAUAAACUAUGC